AUUGAACGCUGGCGGCGUGGCUAAAGCAUGCAAGUCGAGCGAACCCGCAAGGGUGAGCGGCGGACGGGUUAGUAAUACGAUCGAACGUGCCCUGAGGCGGGGGAUAGGCGUGGGAAACUGCGCGUAAUACCCCAUGAUCUCUCCGGAGCAAGGGUUUACCACCUUGGGAUCGGCGAUCGUCCUAUCAGCUAGUUGGCGGGGUAAAGGCCCACCAAGGCUAUGACGGGUAGCAGGUGGAGAGCACGACCUGCAACAUCGGGACUGAGACACUGCCCGGACUCCUACGGGAGGCUGCAGCGACGAAUCUUCCGCAAUGGGCGCAAGCCUGACGGAGCGACGCCGCGUGU
rnacentral:rRNA from 1 species